UACGUAGGGACCGAGCGUUGUCCGGAAUCAUUGGGCGUAAAGAGCGUGUAGGCGGCCUUUUAAGUCCUGCGUGAAAUCCUGCGGCUCAACCGCAGACGGUCGUGGGAAACUGGAAGGCUAGAGUCCUGGAGAGGAAGGUGGAAUGCUUGGUGUAGAGGUGAAAUUCGUAGAUAUCAAGCGGAACACCGGUGGCGAAGGCGGCCUUCUGGACAGUGACUGACGCUGAGACGCGAAAGCGGUGGGGAGCAAACAGG
rnacentral:rRNA from 1 species